rnacentral:lncRNA from 1 species
AUUAAAGAAUAAGUUCACUGAAUUAAUCCAUCAAGAGAAUAUUUUAUAGAGUCUUACUUAUAUAUCAAAAGAUGGUUCUCUAAGUAGGAGUAGUUCAACUGAUCCUUAGAUCUGAGACCACCAUGAUAUCUUGUACAAAUGAAUUCAUAUUUUGGUUCAUACUCAUUAAUGACUAAAGUCAUGUAUGGAAUAUUUUAAAUAUAGUGGAUUAUGUAUAAAGGUUGUGAGUAGGUUAAUAAAGAAUCAAUCACUCUUAGUAAGAGG